UCGAGCGGACAGAAGGGAGCUUGCUCCCGGAUGUUAGCGGCGGACGGGUGAGUAACACGUGGGUAACCUGCCUGUAAGACUGGGAUAACUCCGGGAAACCGGAGCUAAUACCGGAUAGUUCCUUGAACCGCAUGGUUCAAGGAUGAAAGACGGUUUCGGCUGUCACUUACAGAUGGACCCGCGGCGCAUUAGCUAGUUGGUGGGGUAAUGGCUCACCAAGGCGACGAUGCGUAGCCGACCUGAGAGGGUGAUCGGCCACACUGGGACUGAGACACGGCCCAGACUCCUACGGGAGGCAGCAGUAGGGAAUCUUCCGCAAUGGACGAAAGUCUGACGGAGCAACGCCGCGUGAGUGAUGAAGGUUUUCGGAUCGUAAAGCUCUGUUGUUAGGGAAGAACAAGUGCGAGAGUAACUGCUCGCACCUUGACGGUACCUAACCAGAAAGCCACGGCUAACUACGUGCCAGCAGCCGCGGUAAUACGUAGGUGGCAAGCGUUGUCCGGAAUUAUUGGGCGUAAAGGGCUCGCAGGCGGUUUCUUAAGUCUGAUGUGAAAGCCCCCGGCUCAACCGGGGAGGGUCAUUGGAAACUGGGAAACUUGAGUGCAGAAGAGGAGAGUGGAAUUCCACGUGUAGCGGUGAAAUGCGUAGAGAUGUGGAGGAACACCAGUGGCGAAGGCGACUCUCUGGUCUGUAACUGACGCUGAGGAGCGAAAGCGUGGGGAGCGAACAGGAUUAGAUACCCUGGUAGUCCACGCCGUAAACGAUGAGUGCUAAGUGUUAGGGGGUUUCCGCCCCUUAGUGCUGCAGCUAACGCAUUAAGCACUCCGCCUGGGGAGUACGGUCGCAAGACUGAAACUCAAAGGAAUUGACGGGGGCCCGCACAAGCGGUGGAGCAUGUGGUUUAAUUUGAAGCAACGCGAAGAACCUUACCAGGUCUUGACAUCCUCUGACAACCCUAGAGAUAGGGCUUUCCCUUCGGGGACAGAGUGACAGGUGGUGCAUGGUUGUCGUCAGCUCGUGUCGUGAGAUGUUGGGUUAAGUCCCGCAACGAGCGCAACCCUUGAUCUUAGUUGCCAGCAUUCAGUUGGGCACUCUAAGGUGACUGCCGGUGACAAACCGGAGGAAGGUGGGGAUGACGUCAAAUCAUCAUGCCCCUUAUGACCUGGGCUACACACGUGCUACAAUGGACAGAACAAAGGGCUGCAAGACCGCAAGGUUUAGCCAAUCCCAUAAAUCUGUUCUCAGUUCGGAUCGCAGUCUGCAACUCGACUGCGUGAAGCUGGAAUCGCUAGUAAUCGCGGAUCAGCAUGCCGCGGUGAAUACGUUCCCGGGCCUUGUACACACCGCCCGUCACACCACGAGAGUUUGCAACACCCGAAGUCGGUGAGGUAACCUUUAUGGAGCCAGCCGCCGAAGGUGGGGCAGAUGAUUGGGGUGAAGUC
rnacentral:rRNA from 1 species